GUUUUAUGGAAGUCUGCGCGUUCUGGUUGUUGGGAGACAUGUGCGAGUGGCUGAGACCAGAGGCUGGUCUGAUGCUGAGAGGACGUUACUCCUGCAGUGUGUUCUAACAGGUAAGGCUCAGGAGGCGUACUGUGCCCUCAGUGUAGCAGACAGUAAGGUCUAUACUUCUGUCAAAGCUGCUGUGCUAAAAACAUAUGAGUUGGUACCUGAGGCCUACAGGCAGAGAUUCAGAUCCUGGGAAAAGUCUGGUCGCCAGACUCACACGGAGUUUGCCAGAGAGCUGACGACUCAUUUCCAUCGGUGGUGUUCUUCACUGAAUGUUCAUGCAUAUGUGACCGGCUGAUUAGCCAUCACGCCAUACAGCUGUGGGGGAACUAAUGAUUGGUUUGGCCGUUGCAGCAGGGGGUUCAAAUUGAUUGACGGACGUAGUUCCAGUAUACACCUGAACACUCCUGGACAGUGUUCUGUGGCUGCAGUGCAGAGUCUGCUGACGGUGUCUCUGCUUAUCGGCGGCGUCAGGGUCGGACAUCCGAGGUAAACAAAAUGUUUGUUUAUGCUAAUUGUUAUCGUUCUGUUGCUUGAUUGUUUUUAAACAUUUCUUUGUUUCAUUACCGUUUUGCCUCUGUUGCCUUGUCUUUUUGUUUGUUUAUUUUGUUGUUUCUUUCUUUUAGUUUGUAGUUGUUUUGCCUAGUUCUGUAUUAGUUUGCUUGGUUCGAGUUUAGUUUCGUUUCUCCCCAUGUGUGCGUUUAUCUUUAGGUUGUCGUGGUUGUGUUCUCUGGCUCAGUAAUCAGGUUUCUCCCCUCCAUAGCUGCGUAGGGCCUGUGUGACUGUCACUUUUAAUAACUGCAUUUAUAGUAACGUGUGUGUGUGUGUGUGUGUGUGUGUGUGCGCGCGUGUGUGCGUGCGCGCGCUGAACAUAUUUUUGUACCAGAAUAAAAAUUGUAUUUAUAUUUUUCUAUACACGCCUCUGUAUUCAUUUGUGCACGUACUUGUGUUUAUUAGGGGAAAUCCUCUGUUGAGAGGCAGGAUUGUUAACAUUCUUAGGGUGAAAGUCCCUAGGUGGUGUUGUCGGUUCUGUGUUAAAAGAAACCAGAAGACCUUCACCAGUCCUAACUUGGUUACACAUAUGAUGUUCUGUGUGAUUUAAUUAUUCUGGAGCAGUUUAAGAACUCAGUUCCUCCUCACAUUGCUGUCUAUAUAGGUGAACAUAAGGUGAAGACAGCAGAGGAAGCAGCAACUUUGGCUGAUGACUAUGUGCUGACACAUCUUGGUGACUACAGAGCUCAGGACAGUGGUAAAAAUAAAUAUCAGUCAGCAGGUAAGACUGGAACAGACAGAUUUGUGUGGAGUCAGGCACAGGGAAACUCCUGUAACUACUGAAGAGGCAGAGGCCACUGGAAAGCUGAAUGUCCAGUAAAAGGUAGUUGUGAAGGUGGGCAGGUGGAGCCUGUUGUGCUCGCUGCUACUGGCAGGAGGUUUACUGGUGUCCUCUGUCCUGGUGUCUGUUCUCACAGAUUUAAGGGGGAAUCUGCAGUGGACUAUGGUAGGUUACAGUCUGAUUUCUCAGCCUUUCUGUCUAAUGGUUAUGUGCCCUGGUAGGUAGUAAUGGUAAGGUACCAGUAAGAAUUCUGAGAGAUAGUGGAGCAAGCUGCACAUUGAUUGUGAGUUCUGUGCUGCCGUUCUCUCAGUUCACGGCUACUGGUGAAAAGGUUCAGAUGAAGGGAAUGGGUUUGGGGGUGCUGCCUGUUCCAGCCCAUAAACUGUGGCUAAACUGUGGUCUAGUUCAGGGGGAGGUGACCAUGGCAGUGCAUUCGGCUCUACCAGUCCCAGGGGUGCAGGUUAUUCUGGGGAAUGACCUGGCUGGUAGCCAUGUGUGGGCUGAUGGUCCACCUCAACCUGUAGUAACUUUUUCUCCUUCUGUUGCAGAGAGGUUUCCUGUUUGCACAGCUACCCAGUCAGUGUUUGGUGGAGAGGCAGAAUCAGGCUUCAAGCCGAGUGGUCCAGAGAGUAUCCUUCACUGUGGUGAUACCUGAUUCUUUCCCUUCAGUUUCUCACAGUGACCUGGCAGCAGAACAACAAGCUGAUCCUUCCCUCAGUGCAAUGUUUGAUUCUUCGCUUUUGGAUGGGGAGAGUUCUGCACAGGGUUAUCUGGCGAAAAACAAUCUGUUGGUAAGGAAAUGGGUGCCAACUGGGAAAGGUUUCAUUUGUGAUCCUGUUUUUCAGGUUGUUGUGCCUUCGGUGUGCCGUGGGGAGAUACUGAGGACAUCUUAUGACCAGUAUGGACAUCUGGGGGUGCGUAAGAUGUAUUGUCACCUCCGAAAGUACAUCUUUUGGCCUGGUUUGAAGAGAGAUGUCUCUCUAUAUGUUAGGUCGAAGAGGAGUCAGUCUUCCCCUCCGCAGAGUAAAAAGAAGGGCUCAUAUGACCGUAAAGCUGAGGUUCAUCAGUUUGUUAGUCUGCUUAAACCUAGGCCCAGCAGCAUCAGUCCCAUAAAGGGGUGGAAAAGGGUGCAGACUACACAAACUGGUAAGUGAGUGCUGGCCAAGGUCAUGUCUUUAGGCUGCCCAAGGUCUUUCAGCUGUCCAGAGCCCUGGCUGGUGAAAUGUGCUUGGAGGAUCCAGUGCUUAGACCUCCUAGGCCCUGUCUGUUUCUUCCAACCCUACCACUCUUAAAGCGCUUCGCCCAUCACCGGGGGGUUGCUGGGUGUAGGAUUGGAAAGGUGGGUUGCCUGGAGGGAGGGUCUGCGCAGGGUGGUCUGGACAUUGUGUACCAACAGUUAUGGGAUCUGCAGAAAGUAUUUUGGUGACCAUUUAUCACAGCAAGCGAUUGUAUUGUGUACUGUUGAUGUGUGCUGUCUCAGACUCCCAGGGGAAGCCUCAUCUUAAGGGGGAGUGUGUGACGACCCUCCUCUUGGACACCAGGUGAGCCUGUUCAGAAGCUGAGGGUCAUCAGCUGAUUGAGCCACACCUGGGAUCAAGUGGCUCAAACUGCAUCAAACCUCCCUCACUUCCAGUGUCUCUCUCUGACAGGAGCUGUUUCCUUCUGGACCUCCAGAAGCCUGGUUUUGUUUAUAGUCUUUCGUGUACCUUGUUGGCUUGGUUUUGCAUUACAAUAAAACCUUUUUUUUAGUCACCACCCUGUUGUUGUCUCACUGUUUUGUUGUAGCUUCAGAGCU
ensembl:lncRNA